rfam:Camelus ferus unplaced genomic scaffold scaffold1960, whole genome shotgun sequence.
GGGGGUAUAGCCCAGUGGUAGAGUGCGUGCUUGGUAUGCAUGAGGUCCUGGGUUCAAUCCCCAGUACCUCCA